UACGUAGGGUGCGAGCGUUGUCCGGAAUUAUUGGGCGUAAAGAGCUCGUAGGCGGUGUGUCGCGUCGGCCGUGAAAACCUGCAGCUUAACUGUGGGCUUGCGGUCGAUACGGGCAUCACUGGAGUUCGGCAGGGGAGACUGGAAUUCCUGGUGUAGCGGUGAAAUUCGUAGAUAUUGGGAAGAACACCGGUGGCGAAGGCGGCGCUCUGGACCGAGACUGACGCUGAGGCGCGAAAGCGUGGGGAGCAAACAGG
rnacentral:rRNA from 1 species